rnacentral:misc_RNA from 1 species
GAAUACUAAACACUGUUGCUUCGGCGGGGAGCCCCUUCCGGGGGGCAAGCCGCCGGGGACCACUGAACUUCAUGCCUGAGAGUGAUGCAGUCUGAGUCUGAAUUAUAAAUCAGUCAAAACUUUCAACAAUGGAUCUCUUGGUUCCGGCAUCGAUGAAGAACGCAGCGAACUGCGAUAAGUAAUGUGAAUUGCAGAAUUCAGUGAAUCAUCGAGUCUUUGAACGCACAUUGCGCCCCCUGGCAUUCCGGGGGGCAUGCCUGUCCGAGCGUCAUUGCUGCCCUUCAAGCCCGGCUUGUGUGUUGGGUCGUCGUCCCCCCCGGGGGACGGGCCCGAAAGGCAGCGGCGGCACCGUGUCCGGUCCUCGAGCGUAUGGGGCUUUGUCACCCGCUCGAUUAGGGCCGGCCGGGCGCCAGCCGGCGUCAUCAAUCUAUUUUACCAGGUUGACCUCGGAUCA